rnacentral:lncRNA from 1 species
GCCUUUGAUUGUAUUUAUUUUUCGGUUAAUGUUUUGUACAAAAAUCAGUUUCAUGUAUUCAAAAAUGACAAGGGACAUAGGUGUGUUAUAUACUUUCUUCAAUGACAACAAACAUCCUUAUGUUGUACAAAACAUUAAACGAAAAAUUAAAACAAUCAAAGGCAACCAGCGACAACCACUGAAUUGCACGCUAUAGACUUUGGACACGAAUCCUUCCACUAACCUGGAACAGCCGUAUUUUGCACAACUUUUUUGGGAAAUUUUGGGUCCUCAAUGCUUUUCAACUUUGUACUUGUUUGUCUUUAUAACUAUUUUGAUCUGAGCGUUACUGAUGAGUCUUAUGUAGACAAAACGCGCAUCUAGCUGGUUCCUUUGAUAAUAAUUAUAAAAGCACAAGAUUGUUGAAUUUAUAUUAAAUGUUUUUUAAAUGUCGAAAGGUGGCUAUGGUAUUAUUUAAUACUUUUGUCAGAUUGUAUGAAAUUUGUGCAAAUAUAUUCAGGUUUAAUCUACCAUUUUCGUCAUAAGGAAAUGCAUGUAUCAAGUUAGGAUUAUUGCAGUUGACCUAUCGUUUGUUUGAUUUUGACCUUUUAUAAGAGUCUUUCCGUUUUGAAUUGAAUGUUGUGCACUAAGUAAGGAAUAUGACAGUUAUUUUGACAGUCAGUCGGCAGUUUUGUUAUUUUACUUUUUGCGUCAAGGUAUAUCAUGUAUAUAUGUAGGUAAUCAAACAAUAUGUACGGAUUUAUGUAUAAUACAUCUAUCAUUAUCAAGGAUUUUCUCGUGCCAUAGUUAACAUGCUAAAUACUUAAACAUGUUAAAAAUCUUAUUGUCCUGGAGUUGUUUGGUUUACAACACUUGUGCUAUAUUUUAUUUGUUUGCCAAUUAAAUUUGAUAUUAUGAGGUUUUUUUUUUACAAUAUUGUGUAUUGUAUAUUGUGUAAAAAUAUAUUAAAAAG